rnacentral:rRNA from 1 species
UACGUAGGCAGCAAGCGUUGUUCGGAAUUACUGGGCGUAAAGGGAGCGUAGGCGGCCCGCUAAGUUUGGUGUGAAAUCUCCCGGCUCAACCGGGAGGGUGCGCCGAAAACUGGCGGGCUAGAGUGUGGGAUAGGAAAGUGGACUUCCUGGUGUAGCGGUGAAAUGGGUAGAUAUCAGGAGGACCACCUGUGGUGAAGACGGCUUUCUGGACCAUUACAGACGCUGAGGCACGAAAGCGUGGGUAGCAAACAGU